CAUUUAUUUACAUCACAAGUUUCAAAGAUUCACCACUCCGACGGUCCCCCCGACAGCAGUGGUGCGGUUGUGCUUGGGAAAGGGAAAGAGAAAUGGUGUAAAUCUGUCCGGGUGAAGGUUCCAUUCAUUGUGGGACAUAAAAGCCAAAGCCAAGAAGCUACGUAGAAGCCCCAUUUUUCUUUAACUCCAGGAGGUUUCAGCCUUUCAGGCUUCCAGCUCAUAGCCUCAUACAUUUAACUUAGCCCCCAGAGAAUCUUUGAUACCUCUGCAUUUUGCUAUUCACAAUCCUUUCUGUCCCCACCUGCAGAACCUUUGUACCUGUAAAGUUAUGUGAAUCAACUCCAACCCAUAUCCUCUUUCAUCACUCUUUUAAGUUUUCUGAUUUCUCUGCUCCAAAAAGGUGGGUUCUUUUUGUUUUUAUAGUCUUCUGUCUCUGUCGGAAAGCUAUACACAUCAACAUUUAGUUGUUCGUAUGCUAUAUAUCGAAGGAGUAACAGUUUCUUCUUUUUUUGUAAACCGGGGGAUUACUGAUUUAGUGGGAUUUUGAUUCCGUUAUAGGUGUAGAAAUCCAAAUGUUGUUACAGGAGCUGGGGAUAUGCCAGUGAAUGUGAAAUUGGGCUAAUGAAGGAGAAGAAUGUUCUUAUUUCUACUCUGGGUCUAAUCAAGAAUACCCCUUUUGCUUGUUCGACGCUUUUUGAUGGUCCAAGUUGAAGUAUUCUUCUUAAAGAUUGGAUCUUGGAGCAGAGUCAACUGUCAGUCCUCAGUCAUGUUGCAGUACUAAAUUUGGGCUCCGAAGCUCAUGGGGUAAAGGAAUUUUAGUUACAAACUUUGCGUGCUACUAAAUGUGAAGGUGUAUAAAAGAUUCACAGUGCAACUCCUGGUUGGUCAUACCAUCCUGGCUUUGUUUUUAGGUGGAAGUUCUGAUUUUUGGGAGUUUAAGUAAGGGUGAGGUUUAGUUGAGGGUGUGAAGUUUUUGAUAAGAGUCAUUUGUGAAGAUGUCUGAAUCGAAGUCAUUUGAAGCAUCAGAAAAUUCGAAGGAACUUCGAUCAUUGGCAUUGACACCAACAUGGUCUGUUGCUACUGUGUUAACUGUAUUUGUCGUAGUUUCACUGCUCGUGGAGCGAUCUAUACACCGAUUGUGCAAUUGGCUGAAGAAAACUGAUAGAAAACCUUUGCUUGCAGCUGUGGAGAAAAUGAAAGAAGAGUUAAUGCUACUUGGCUUCAUUUCUCUCCUACUUACGGCCACCUCAAGCAUUAUAUCCAAUAUUUGCAUCCCAUCGAAGUAUUAUGAUGGUGUAUUUGCUCCUUGCAAAAAGUCUGAAAUUGAAGAAGAAAAUGAAAAUGAAGAUUUCAAAAAGCGAAAACUUUUGAUGGACCUUGUUUUUGAUCAUCCAUUAAGAAGAAUGCUUAAUAGCUUGAACAAAAAUACCUGUCCAGAGAAUCAUGAGCCAUUUGUAUCAUAUGAAGGCCUAGAGCAGCUGCACCGUUUCAUCUUUGUCAUGGCCAUUACUCAUAUAUCUUACAGCUGCUUAACAAUGCUACUGGCUAUUGUCAAGAUUCAUACUUGGAGAGUUUGGGAGGAUGAAGCUCACAUGGACCGACAUGGAGCAUUAACUGAUAGGACAAGAGCAAUGACAAUGCGAAGGCAGUCAACUUUUGUUAGAGUCCAUACAUCGAAUCCUAUGUCUAGGAAUAGUGUUCUCAUUUGGGUGACAUGUUUCUUCAGGCAAUUUGGGCGUUCAGUUGUUCGUGCUGAUUACCUUUCACUACGGAAGGGUUUUAUUAUGAACCACAACCUUACAUCAAAAUAUGAUUUUCAUAGCUAUAUGAUUCGAUCCAUGGAAGAAGAGUUCCAAAGAAUAGUCGGUGUCAGUGCACCACUCUGGGGAUUCGUUGUUGCUUUUAUGAUGUUUAAUGUCAAAGGGUCAAAUCUUUAUUUCUGGAUUGCACUAUUUCCAAUCACUCUUGUUCUACUGGUAGGCACAAAACUGCAACACGUCAUAGCAACAUUGGCGUUGGAGAGUGCUGGAAUAACUGGCUAUUUCCCGGGAGCAAAGCUAAAACCGAGGGACGAACUUUUUUGGUUCAAGAAGCCAGAACUACUGCUAUCCCUGAUUCACUUUGUCCUCUUCCAGAAUGCGUUUGAGCUAGCUUCGUUCUUCUGGUUCUGGUGGCAGUUUGGCUAUAAUUCUUGCUUUAUAUUCAACCACACACUAGUGUAUCUACGGCUAAUAUUAGGGUUUGCGGGGCAGUUUCUAUGCAGCUAUAGCACCUUACCACUCUAUGCACUGGUUACUCAGAUGGGAACGAACUAUAAGGCGGCCCUUAUCCCACAGAGAAUAAGAGAAACGAUGCAUGGUUGGGGGAAGGCAGCGAGGAGGAAGAGAAGGCAUCAUCAUCAUCAUCGAAGCAUGUAUGAUGAUUCAACAACGGUGCACACUGAUGCGAGCACGGUGUUGUCUGUUGAGGAAGACGAUGAUCACGGGUCGCUUGAUAGCCCUCGAAAAAGCUAUGGCACGAAUGCAGGGAUUGAAUUGCAGGCUCCCAGUAUUGUUGAAGAAGGUGGUCCUUGCAUGAACGUUAACGAAGCCUCGAGUCGUGCUGUUACACCUCUCAUUCGACCCUGUGCUUCUAUCUCUUUCAGUGAUCCACCUAGGUUCCUUACAGAAGUAAUUUCGAGAUCCUCUUCAAUGCCUAUAAGAAGAGAACUGGAAAAAGAUUGAAUGCAACGAUAGAGAAAUGGAAACUGGAAUGAUUCCCACUAAUACUUUGAUAGAUUGUAUGUAUGGUGUUGAAAAGAGAAACCUACUAAUGUACAAGAGUAACCAUGAAAAUUUGA